CCCUCCCUCUGGCGGCAUGCCUAACACAUGCAAGUCGAACGAGACCUUCGGGUCUAGUGGCGCACGGGUGCGUAACGCGUGGGAACCUGCCCUUAGGUUCGGAAUAACUCCCCGAAAGGGGUGCUAAUACCGGAUAAUGUCUUCGGACCAAAGAUUUAUCGCCUUUGGAUGGGCCCGCGUUGGAUUAGCUAGUUGGUAGGGUAAAAGCCUACCAAGGCGACGAUCCAUAGCUGGUCUGAGAGGAUGAUCAGCCACACUGGGACUGAGACACGGCCCAGACUCCUACGGGAGGCAGCAGUGGGGAAUAUUGGACAAUGGGCGAAAGCCUGAUCCGGCAAUGCCGCGUGAGUGAUGAAGGCCUUAGGGUUGUAAAGCUCUUUUACCCGGGAUGAUAAUGACAGUACCGGGAGAAUAAGCUCCGGCUAACUCCGUG
rnacentral:rRNA from 1 species